rnacentral:rRNA from 1 species
UACAGAGGUCCCAAGCGUUGUUCGGAAUCAUUGGGCGUAAAGAGCGUGUAGGCGGCUUGGUAAGUCCGCUGUGAAAGUCCAGGGCUCAACCCUGGAAUGCCGGUGGAAACUGUCAAGCUUGAGUCCGGAAGAGGCGAGUGGAAUUCCUGGUGUAGCGGUGAAAUGCGCAGAUAUCAGGAGGAACACCGGUGGCGAAGGCGGGUCUCGUGGGCCGAUGACUGACACUGAGGAGCGAAAGCGUGGGGAGCGAACAGG